ACUCCCCGAGUAGAGCGGCGCACGGGUGAGUAACGCGUGGGUAACCUACCUCCGGGCGGGGGAUAACCACUCGAAAGGGUGGCUAAUACCGCAUGAGACCACGGGGUACUAAGGACCCAGGGGCCAAAGAUGGCACCGGCUUGCCGGUGCUGUCACCUGGAGACGGGCCCGCGUACGAUUAGCUAGUUGGUGGGGUAACGGCCUACCAAGGCUGCGAUCGUUAGCUGGUCUGAGAGGAUGACCAGCCACACUGGAACUGGAACACGGUCCAGACUCCUACGGGAGGCAGCAGUGAGGAAUAUUGCGCAAUGGGGGAAACCCUGACGCAGCAACGCCGCGUGGGUGAAGAAGGCCUUCGGGUCGUAAAGCCCUUUCGGACGGGACGAACGCUCCGCGGGGAUAAUCCGCGGAGUCUGACGGUACCGUAGGAAGAAGCACCGGCUAACUCCGUGCCAGCAGCCGCGGUAAUACGGAGGGUGCAAGCGUUGUUCGGAAUUACUGGGCGUAAAGCGCGUGUAGGCGGCCUGGUAAGUCAGAUGUGAAAGCCCUCGGCUCAACCGGGGAAGGGCAUCUGAAACUGCCUGC
rnacentral:rRNA from 1 species